UACGUAGGGUGCAAGCGUUGUCCGGAAUCAUUGGGCGUAAAGCGCGCGUAGGCGGCCCGAUAAGUCCGCUGUAAAAGUCAACGGCUCAACUGUUGAAAGCCGGUGGAUACUGUCGGGCUAGAGUACGGAAGAGGCAAGUGGAAUUCAUGGUGUAGCGGUGGAAUGCGCAGAUAUCAGGAGGAACACCUAUAGCGAAGGCAGCUUGCUGGGACGUUACUGACGCUAAGGCGCGAAAGCGUGGGGAGCGAACAGG
rnacentral:rRNA from 1 species